AGCAGCCGCGGUAAUUCCAGCUCCAAUAGCGUAUAUUAAAGUUGUUGCAGUUAAAAAGCUCGUAGUUGAAUUUCGGGGUUAGCAGGUCGGUCGUGCCAUUGGUAUGAACUGGUCUCGCUGAUCCCUCCCUCUUGACGAACUGUGAUGCCAUUAAUUUGGUGUCGCAGGGAAUCAGGACUGUUACUUUGAAAAAAUUAGAGUGUUUAAAGCAGGCUUUCGCUUGAAUACAUUAGCAUGGAAUAAUGAAAUAGGACGUUUGAUCUUAUUUUGUUGGUUUCUAGGAUUGACGUAAUGAUUAAUAGGGAUAGUUGGGGGCAUUAGUAUUCAAUUGUCAGGGGUGAAAUUCUUGGAUUUAUUGAAGACUAACUACUGCGAAAGCAUUUGCCAAGGAUGUUUUCAUUAAUCAAGAACGAAAGUUAGGGGAUCGAAGACGAUCAGAUACCGUCGUAGUCUUAACCAUAAAUUAUGCCGACUAGGGAUCGGAUGAUGUUAAUUUUUUAAUGACUCAUUCGGCGCCUUACG
rnacentral:rRNA from 1 species